UGAACCAGUGAUGAUCGUGUGUCAUGAACCAGGGAUUAUGAUUAAUUUAAAUGAUGCAUCUGAGGUCCAAA
rnacentral:snoRNA from 1 species